rnacentral:rRNA from 1 species
UACGAAGGGGGCUAGCGUUGUUCGGAAUUACUGGGCGUAAAGCGCACGUAGGCGGGUUUGUAAGUCGAUUGUGAAAGCCCCGGGCUCAAUCCGGGAACUGCAGUCGAAACUACAAGUCUUGAAUGCUCUAGAGGGUGACGGAAUUCCUGGUGUAGAAGUGAAAUGCGUAGAUAUCAGGAGGAACACCGGAGGCGAAGGCGGUUGCCUGGAGAUGCAUUGACGCUGAGGUGCGAAAGCGUGGGGAGCAAACAGG